UACGGAGGGUGCAAGCGUUAUCCGGAAUUACUGGGUUUAAAGGGUGCGUAGGCGGCUUAGUAAGUCAGGGGUGAAAGCCCACCGCUCAACGGUGGAAUUGCCUUUGAUACUGCUGAGCUUGAAUUAGGUUGAGGUCGGCUGAACGUGACAUGUAGCGGUGAAAUGCAUAGAUAUGUCAUAGAACACCAAUUGCGAAGGCAGCUGGCUAGACCUGAAUUGACGCUGAGGCACGAAAGCGUGGGGAGCGAACAGG
rnacentral:rRNA from 1 species